rnacentral:rRNA from 1 species
GACAGAGGAUGCAAGCGUUAUCCGGAAUGAUUGGCGUAAGCGUCUGUAGGUGGCUUUUAAGUCCGCCGUCAAAUCCCAGGGCUCAACCCUGGACAGGCGGUGGAAACUACCAAGCUGGAGUACGGUAGGGCAGAGGGAAUUUCCGGUGGAGCGGUGAAAUGCGUAGAGAUCGGAAAGAACACCAACGGCGAAAGCACUCUGCUGGCCGACACUGACACUGAGAGACGAAAGCUAGGGGAGCGAAUGGG